GUGUAGGUUUAGGUUUAGAGAUUUGAGAAUACAUUCAGGUUUUAGGUUUAGGUUUAGGUUUAGGUUAUAGGUUUAGGUUUAGGUUUAGGUUUAGUUAAGGUUUAGGGAAAUGAGAAUAGGUUAAGGUUUAGGUUUAGGAAAUCGGGUUCGGGUUCGGGA